AUGGACGACAACACCACCAGCCUCAAGGCCAUGAUAGAGACGAUCCUCACGCGCCUCGACGAACAGAAGGUCGACAGCGACAAGCGGCUCGAGGCCCAGAUCGCCUUCAACACGCAGGUCUCUCAGGAUCUGCGCUCCCUCGCCAAGCAGGUCGACCUCACGCAGGCGGAUGUCGACGAAACCCGCAAGGCGCUGGAGCGAUCCCCUUCACCUCAGGAUUCGGGAUCUCCAACGGUGAUCCAUCCACAACAGCCUCCACCACGACCUCAGGCCCCUGCUCCGCCGCAACAACACGGGCCGCCGCCAUCCCCACGCCUCUUGGACCAGCGUCCGCCUCUGUUGGCAACGGCGCCGCAAACCGGCGUCCACUUUCAGCACCAGCCGUACAGCCCGACCAACGAGGCGCACCACCACCAGCAUCACCAUCAGGACACCUACAUCAAGCCGCCAAAGCACGACUUCCCGCGGUUCGACGGCAGCGCGCCGUACCUCUGGCUCGACCGCUGCCGGGCGUACUUUGACCUCUACCACGUGCCACCGACAAGCUGGGUGACUACGGCGACACUCUACAUCGAAGGGCAAGCGGCACACUGGCUUCAGGCAUUUCGUCAAACGCAUGGCGGCCUAGCGUGGGAUGCAUUUUGCGCCGCGAUUAAAGAGGAGUUCGGCGUCGAUGAGUUCGAGAUGGAGAUGCACAAACUUCUGCAACUCCGUCAGACGGGCACCGUCAGCGAGUACCGCAAGGAGUUCGAUACACACAUGUAUCACCUCUUGGCGCUCGAUCCCUCACUCAGCAACAAAUUCUUCAUCACCCAGUUCCUGUUAGGCCUCAAGGACAAGCUUCGCGCAGCAGUUCGACUACAGGCGCCCAACAGCAUCACGCGCGCGUCGAUUCUGGCCCGAAUCCAAGAGGAGGAGCUGAACACUCCUAGAGCGCGCCCGCGACCGCAGCCGCAAGGCCGUCCACCGCCUGUGCCCGCGCGGCCACCAGCCGCACCACGCCAACAGCCUGACGACUACGCGCGCGAACGCCAACUCAAAGAGUUCCGGCGUGCCAACGGUCUCUGCUUCAAGUGUGGAGAUCGGUACACUCGUGAUCACCGUUGCAACACGCAGGCGCAGUUGCUCACCAUCCAAGUGGGCGCCUACGGCGAGCUGCUCACCGACGACACCGUUCACGCGCUCGACCUGCUGGACGCCCCAGAACAAGAGGUGCCCCCUCCGGAGUGCUGCACAAUUUCCGCGCACACGUUGGAUGGCUCUGAAGCGCCCAACACUAUUCGCCUCCGCGCUCUCGUGGGCAACCAGGUCAUGUUGCUCCUCCUAGACUCAGGGAGCACACACAGCUUCGUCAACAAAACAUUUGUCGAACGCGUCGGUGCGACGACAAAGGAGAUCGCCACACUAGACGUGCGCGUGGCAAACGGCGACCGGCUCACCUGUUCGCGCCAAGUCCCCGAGCUCAAGUGGUGGAUGCAGGGCCACACGUUCUCGACGCCGAUGUAA
rnacentral:rRNA from 1 species